UUUUUUUCUUCUUCUUUUUUUUUUUUUUUUUUUUUGUUUUAGGAUCCAAUUGGAUCAUCUUGGGUGCCUUUCUGUGAAACAAAUAAUUAAACUACAAAUGAAAAUGGCUGCAUGCGGUGUAAGAGCGCUCCCUCGCAGACCGGGCGCCAUUGAUUUUUCGACUUCCUGCAGCUCAUUGUUUUGGCUUUACGACGCAGUUACAAUAAAAAAUCACUCUUAACUCUCUAAUUACCCACAUUCCCAGGUCGGUCUUUGUUGUGGAGAAACAAACAGCUAAACACAAUCCCAAUUACAGGCUGAAGUAAUGCAGGUAUUGGGCUUUGCUAAAGUAUUCACACCACAUUUUUACAUUUCCUCAUAUUAGAAUCACCGACUGCAAUUCAUUUUAUUAGGCAAGGGAAGUACAUAAUUGUAAAGUGGAUUUUUAUUAUAAUUUAGUUUAGUUUUUUUUUUUUUGUUUGUUUGUUUGUAUUUUUUACAAAUCAAAACCUGAGUAGUGUGGUCUGCAUUUGUACUCCAUUUAUUUUUGAUAACAGCUGUAGUUUGGUGAUCCUGGUCGCAAACAUACAACCAAAAGGCACAGUGGAGAGUUUAGAUUAAAUCCUAUUCAUGCGAUUAAAAAGGUCCAAUCAAUUUUGCAGCUGUAACAGCUGCUGAACAGAAAAGCGCUCUCCUCUGUUCUGUCUUUUACUGGUCAAAACACUUUAAACUCUUUUCCUCCCUCUGUACAACUAUGUGCUACCAAAUACGUCAACAUUUGUGUAGAAAGCAAUGCAAAGUGUAAAAAUAAGAAGAAGAAUAAAUUAACAGGUUUGAAAACUUUCGCAGCACAUUUAAGGACUUGAAAAGUUCAUAAAAGCCACAGAACCGAGGAUUCGCCCGACACCGUAGAACUGAGCUCCACACUCUUGGGAUGUUAAGUCCUUCUACCUAUCAGCUAACUGGGUUGUUCCUGUCUGUGUGGUGCUUUUUCCGGUGCCUGAAGGUUUCUCCCGGACUGUGGGGAUGAGAAGCUUUGCUCCCACACACCUGAGGAUCAUCAGCCAUCAGCCUUGGAGGAUAAGAGGAGCGAGCUGCUGAUCAUUCUUCGUCUGAGUGUUAGCUUAUGCGGUAUUUCUGUGAGCCUCCUGCUGGAAUAAAGCUCUUGCGAUCAUCCUCUGAAGCCACGUCUUACCGCUGGAAGAACAAUUCCCCCUGGAUCAUCCACCACAGUCAGCAGCUUAGAUCCAAACCGCCAUCAUCCUCCAAGCCAAGACUCGACUACCACACAGACCGGCAACCCAGAACGCUCACAUUCCUCCAGCAAGAUUAUUCCGUCAUCCUUAUUAUCACAAUCUUCUUCCCAACUCUACAUCGCCCUCGCAGUUCCCUCCCUGCACAAAACCUUGAGAAGUCUGGACUUUAUUACGUCUGUAACAAUAAACUUGAUGAACUUU